GACGAACGCUGGCGGUGUGCUUAACACAUGCAAGUGGUGCGACGAACCAGAGCUUGCUCUGGGGCAAAGCCGCGAACGGGUGAGUAACACGUGGGUAAUCUACCCCGAUGACCGUGACAACCCGAGGAAACUCGGGCUAAUACCGGAUGUGGUGCGGAGACAUAAGUCUCUUCACUAAAGGUAGCUUCGGCUUCCGCAUUGGGAGGGGCCCGCGGCCCAUUAGCUUGUUGGUGGGGUCAAGGCCUACCAAGGCAACGAUGGGUAGCUGGUCUGAGAGGACGAUCAGCCACACUGGGACUGAGACACGGCCCAGACUCCUACGGGAGGCAGCAGUGGGGAAUCUUGGGCAAUGGGCGAAAGCGUGACGCAGCAACACCGCGUGAGGGAAGAAGGCCUUAGGGUUGUAAACCUCUUUCAGAUGGGACGAAGGUUCUCCGGUGAAUAGCCGAGAGGAUUGACGGUACCGUCAGAAGAAGCACCGGCUAACUACGUG
rnacentral:rRNA from 1 species